rnacentral:rRNA from 1 species
AGAGUUUGAUCCUGGCUCAGAACGAACGCUGGCGGCGCGUCUUAAGCAUGCAAGUCGGACGGCAAGGGUUGUGCUUGCACAACUCCUAGAGUGGCGGACUGGUGAGUAACGCGUGGGUGACCUGCCCUCGAGAUGGGGAUAGCCAUUAGAAAUAGUGGAUAAUACCGAAUACGCUCAUGACCCUGUGGGGAUAUGAGGAAAACAGGCUACGGCCUGGCUCGAGGAUGGGCCCGCGUCCCAUUAGCUAGUUGGUGAGGUAACGGCCCACCAAGGCGACGAUGGGUAUCCGGCCUGAGAGGGUGUACGGACACAUUGGGACUGAGAUACGGCCCAAACUCCUACGGGAGGCAGCAGCUAAGAAUAUUCCGCAAUGGACGAAAGUCUGACGGAGCGACGCCGCGUGGAUGAAGAAGGCCGGAAGGUUGUAAAAUCCUUUUGCUGAUGAAGAAUAAGUGGUGUAGGGAAUGACAUCAUGAUGACAUUAGUCGGUGAAUAAGCCCCGGCUAACUACGUGCCAGCAGCCGCGGUAACACGUAGGGGGCAAGCGUUGUUCGGAAUUAUUGGGCGUAAAGGGCAUGUAGGCGGUUUCGUAAGCCUGGUGUGAAAUCCUGCAGCUUAACUGCAGAAUUGCAUUGGGUACUGCGAGACUUGAAUCACAGAGGGGAAACUAGAAUUCCAGGUGUAGGGGUGGAAUCUGUAGAUAUCUGGAAGAAUACCGGUGGCGAAGGCGGGUUUCUAGCUGAUGAUUGACGCUGAGGUGCGAAAGUGCGGGGAGCAAACAGGAUUAGAUACCCUGGUAGUCCGCACCGUAAACUAUGUACACUAGGUGUAGGGGCAUGAGUCUCUGUGCCGAAGCUAACGUGAUAAGUGUACCGCCUGGGAAGUAUGCCCGCAAGGGUGAAACUCAAAGGAAUUGACGGGGGCCCG